rnacentral:rRNA from 1 species
CACCGCGGUUAUACGAGAGGCCCAAGUUGAUGAAUACCGGCGUAAAGCGUGGUUAAGAAAGAAUAUUACUAAAGCCGAAUGCCUUCACAGCAGUUAUACGCACCCGAAGCAACGAAGCUCCACCACGAAAGUGGCUUUACAAACUCUGACCCCACGAAAGCUAUGACA